GACGAACGCUGGCGGCGUGCUUAACACAUGCAAGUCGAGCGGAGCGGCGGACGGGUGAGUAAUGCCUAGGAAUCUGCCUGGUAGUGGGGGAUAACGUCCGGAAACGGGCGCUAAUACCGCAUACUAUCAGAUGAGCCUAGGUCGGAUUAGCUAGUUGGUGGGGUAAAGGCCUACCAAGGCGACGAUCCGUAACUGGGCUGAGAGGAUGAUCAGUCACACUGGAAUUGAUACACGGUCCAGACUCCACCGGUAGGAAGCGUUGGGGAAUAUUGGACAAGGGGCGAAAGCCUGACCAAGCCAUGCCGCGUGUGUGAAGAAGGUCUGCGGAUUUUAAAGCACUUUAAGUUGUGAGGCGUUACCAACAGAAUAAUCACCGGCUAACUUCGUGCCAGCAGCGGCGGGAAUAC
rnacentral:rRNA from 1 species